CCUACGGGAGGCAGCAGUGGGGAAUAUUGCACAAUGGGGGAAACCCUGAUGCAGCGACGCCGCGUGAGUGAAGAAGUAAUUCGUUAUGUAAAGCUCUAUCAGCAGGGAAGAAAAUGACGGUACCUGAGUAAGAAGCACCGGCUAACUACGUGCCAGCAGCCGCGGUAAUACGGAGGGGGCAAGCGUUAUCCGGAUUUACUGGGUGUAAAGGGAGCGUAGAAGGCAGUGCAAGUCUGGAGUGAAAGGCGGGGGCUCAACCCCCGGACUGCUCUGGAAACUGUACGGCUGGAGUGCAGGAGAGGUAGGUGGAAUUCGUAGUGUAGCGGUGAAAUGCGUAGAUAUUAGGAGGAACACCGGUGGCGAAGGCGGCUUACUAGACUGUGACUGACGUUGAGGCUCGAAAGCGUGGGGAGCAAACAGGAUUAGAUACCCCAGUAGUC
rnacentral:rRNA from 1 species